CUACGGGUUGCUGCAGUGGGGAAUCUUAGACAAUGGGCGCAAGCCUGAUCUAGCCAUGCCGCGUGAGUGACGAAGGCCUUAGGGUCGUAAAGCUCUUUCGCUGGGGAAGAUAAUGACGGUACCCAGUAAAGAAACCCCGGCUAACUCCGUGCCAGCAGCCGCGGUAAUACGGAGGGGGUUAGCGUUGUUCGGAAUUACUGGGCGUAAAGCGCGCGUAGGCGGAUCAGAAAGUUGGGGGUGAAAUCCCGGGGCUCAACCCCGGAACUGCCUUCAAAACUCCUGGUCUUGAGUUCGAGAGAGGUGAGUGGAAUUCCGAGUGUAGAGGUGAAAUUCGUAGAUAUUCGGAGGAACACCAGUGGCGAAGGCGGCUCACUGGCUCGAUACUGACGCUGAGGUGCGAAAGCGUGGGGAGCAAACAGGAUUAGAUACCCGGGUAGUC
rnacentral:rRNA from 1 species